GAUGAAGAACGUAGCGAAAUGCGAUAAGUAAUGCGAAUUGCAGAAUUUCCGUGAGUCAUCGAAUCUUUGAACGCACAUUGCGCCCUUUGGUAUUCCAAAGGGCAUGCCUGUUCGAGCGUCAUUUGUACCCUCAAGCUUUGCUUGGUGUUGGGCGUCUUGUCUCUAGCUUUGCUGGAGACUCGCCUUAAAGUAAUUGGCAGCCGGCCUACUGGUUUCGGAGCGCAGCACAAGUCGCACUCUCUAUCAGCAAAGGUCUAGCAUCCAUUAAGCCUUUUUUUCAACUUUUGUCCUCGGAUCAGGUAAGGAUACCCGCUGAACUUAAGCAUAUCAAUAAGCGGAGGA
rnacentral:misc_RNA from 1 species